rnacentral:rRNA from 1 species
GACGAACCGUGCGAGCGUUGUUCGGAAUCACUGGGUUUAAAGGGCGCGUAGGCGGGCUGUCAAGUCGGUGGUGAAAUCGUUCCGCUCAACGGGACAAUGGCCUUCGAUACUGGCGGUCUGGAGGGAGGUAGGGGCAUGCGGAACUUCCGGUGGAGCGGUGAAAUGCGUAGAUAUCGGAAGGAACACCGAUGGCGAAAGCAGCGUGCUGGACCUUUUCUGACGCUGAGGCGCGAAAGCCAGGGGAGCAAACGGG